CCCUCGAUAGCUCAGUUGGAAGAGCGCGGCAUUGUAAUGUUGAUUAACUAGAACCUGCCGCGGUCACCUGUUCAAUCCAGGUUCGAGGGA